UCAGGGCUUUCCAAGGAGGUUAUGUUCCUUAUGGCAUUGGAAGAAUAUGGUUAGAUGAAGUUCGUUGUGUAGGAAAUGAAAAUAAAUUAACGAAUUGUUUACAUAGAGGAUGGGGAUUACAUAAUUGUACACAUGAUGAAGAUGCUGGUGUACAAUGUUCAGACUCUGACGAAAGAUCCUAGUGAUGGGGAAUCAUGUCAAAGAAAUACACUUAAAACCUAAUUCUAAUCGAAGAUGCUUUUCGUAAAAUAUGUCGUGAAAUAUUUAAAAGCUUAUGUAGAAAAUGCUGUGUGUUUGACAUUUUUAUCCAUUGUUGAAAUGUAUCUGUAAUACAAAACUACGUGUAAACAAGUUGUAAUCAACAAUAUUAUCAUAUAAAGUAAAUGUAGAUAUUAUCAUAAUCUAUAAAAAAAA